UCCAUGUGCCACAAAAGUCGUAUUCUGAGUGGUGCCAAGCACCUAUAAUUUCUUCCAAUUCAAUAGCUCGAACCAUAGCAGGUUAGCUGACAAUGUCACAAUAAAGUGGUGUGGUGAAGAACAAAAGUAAUGUCCUCAGGAAGUUAAAUGUUUACAAUAUGCUAUACGUGGGAUUCACCUCUAUCUGGAGGAGACACAUUGCAAUGGAGCUAAAUCAUCAGCAUUUUUACUGCUUGUCUCACAUCUCGCCAGCAGACUGAUGGAAGGAAUUCACCCAAACUUCAUAUGAGUCAAGUUCCUGUGCAGAGAAUUAAUUGAAAAAAACAUGAGAUUGAUCUGAUAAUUUUCAGAAAUGACAUUUAAGAUACACCAUGGAGGUAUGUGUUGUGUUGGUGGCACCAUGAACAGCGCGCUGACUACUGACCAGAGUGCAUAAUCUUAGAACACAGCUGGUGGUGAACUGAAGGUUGCAAAGGAAAACAUUUGUGUCAUUCCAAUAUACAAAAUAAAUA